rnacentral:rRNA from 1 species
GAAUUUUAUAAAAUUAUUAAUUUUUUUUAUUUAUAAAUUUUAUUUAAUUGGGAGGAUUUUUAAAUUUAAAGAACUUUAAAUUUUUAAUUAAAACAUUAAUUUAUGAUAUUUAUAUAAAUUAAUAAAUAUUAUUUAAAUAAAAAUUAAUUACCUUAGGGAUAACAGCAUAAAAUUUUUUUAUAGAUCUUAUAUAUAAAAAUAUUUGU